rnacentral:rRNA from 1 species
CCGCAUAUACUCUUGCUACAUAAGUAGAGUAGAGGAAAGGAGCAAUCCGCUUUACGAUGAGCCUGCGGCCUAUUAGCCUGUUGGUGGGGUAACGGCCUACCAAAGCUACGAUAGGUAGCCGACCUGAGAGGGUGACCGGCCACAUUGGGACUGAGAUACGGCCCAGACUCCUACGGGAGGCAGCAGCUGAGAAUCUUCCACAAUGGACGAAAGUCUGAUGGAGCGACAUCGCGUGAGGGAUGAAGGCCUUCGGGUUGUAAACCUCAGAAAUUAUCGAAGAAUGAGUGACAGUAGAUAAUGUAAGCCUCGGCUAACUACGUGCCAGCAGCCGCGGUAAUACGUAGGAGGCAAACGUUGCUCGGAUUUACUGGGCGUAAAGGGUGAGUAGGCGGACUUAUAAGUCUAAGGUGAAAGACCGAAGCUCAACUUCGGAAACGUCUCGGAUACUGUAAGUCUUGGAUAUUGUAGGGGAUGAUGGAAUUCUCGGUGUAGCGGUGGAAUGCGCAGAUAUCGAGAGGAACACCUAUAGCGAAGGCAGUCAUCUGGGCAUUUAUCGACGCUGAAUCACGAAAGCUAGGGGAGCAAACAGGCUUAGAUACCCUGGUAGUCCUAGCCGUAAACGUUGUACACUAGGUGCUUCUAUUUAAAUAGGAGUGCCGUAGCUAACGUCUUAAGUGUACCGCCUGAGGAGUAUGCCCGCAAGGGUGAAACUCAAAGAAAUUGACGGGUCCCCGCACAAGUGGUGGAGCAUGUGGUUUAAUUCGAUGAUACGCGAAAAACCUUACCUGGGUUUGAAUUGUAAGAUGAAUGAUUUAGAGAUAAGUCAGACCGCAAGGACGUUUUACAUAGGUGCUGCAUGCCUGUCGUCAGCUCGUGUCGUGAGAUGUUGGGUUAAGUCCCGCAACGAGCGCAACCCUCACCCUUUGUUGCUACCGAGUAAUGUCGGGCACUCUUAGGGGACUGCCUACGUUCAAGUAGGAGGAAGGUGGGGAUGAUGUCAAGUCCUCAUGGCCCUUAUGUCCAGGGCUACACACGUGCUACAAUGGCAAGUACAAAGAGAAGCAAGACCGCGAGGUGGAGCAAAACUCAAAAAAGUUGCCUCAGUUCGGAUUGGAGUCUGAAACUCGACUCCAUGAAGUUGGAAUCACUAGUAAUCGUAGAUCAGAACGCUACGG